AUGUGUGUGCACGUGUAUGUAUGUGUACAUAUAUAUAUAUGUGGGUGUUUGUGUCUCCGUGUCUGAUCGAAGGAGGCCGGCCUCCCUCUUCAACUCCGUCACUUUCUCUGUGCCUAUCGUGAAGUUAUGUUUGCUCGCGUCUUUAUCGUCGUUUCCAGUUGUCUUCAGAUGGGGCUUGCCUUUCAGAACUCCCUGGUGACCGGGACACACACGCAUACACACCCCUCUUCGCGCGUGGCAUCGCAGGGCGCAGUACACCCCUCCCCCUCCCCACGCUCUGUGUGGGGGAAGCUAUGCAGCCCCCACCCCCUAUCCCUGCCAACGCCGAGCCACUUCAGGUGGUGAAAACUUCACGCACCUCGGACAUGGCGGAGGGCGGGAGGGUCAGAGCGAUGUACCGCCACGCAUGCCGGCGGUCAGGCUGUGGACAUUGUUGCGCUGGAGAGGCCAGCGACGGUGCGCACGCUUCUGCCAUCCACGUGAUAGGCGGCGUAUCCGCGUGACUCGAACGUAUCCCACACGGCCCUCGCACUGCCUGCUGGUGGAGGCACAGCCUGCGCGACCGCGAGGAGAUGCACUGGGUGGCGACCAGCACAAUGGGUGGCGCGGCUGCGAGGCGACCGGCUAAGCGGCGGUGAUGGGUGGAGCCUGGCGCAGGGGGCCGUGCUCCGAUGACGGAGUCGGCGCACUCUCUAGCGCGUGUGUCCACGGCUGCUUCGCACCACGCGGUGGGGUCUGUGGCAGGCCGGGGGCGGGUGGAGUGGCGUGCAACUCAUGUUGUAUGGCAGAGAGGGUGGAAGACACCUUGACGGAAAAGACGCGCACUGCAUUUGGACAUCUCGGACGAGGCGCGCAUUCGUGUGGUGUGCGCUUGUGUUUUUAACGAUGAGUUUGAUGGAGGAUUUUGCCAUGGUAUUGCCUGCAAAUGUGGUUGCCGGGAAAACGCGGCUUCAUCGUGGCGGCGUGCAUAGUGCAAAAUUCACAGACCGCCUCUCACGUGACACACAGACAGCCGUUUCUGUCCUCUGUCUCGUCUCGAUAACGUGAGGCAUGGUUCUCAUGGAAGUCGAAG
rnacentral:misc_RNA from 1 species